AUUGAACGCUGGCGGCAGGCCUAACACAUGCAAGUCGAGCGGAUGAAGGGAGCUUGCUCCUGGAUUCAGCGGCGGACGGGUGAGUAAUGCCUAGGAAUCUGCCUGGUAGUGGGGGAUAACGUCCGGAAACGGGCGCUAAUACCGCAUACGUCCUGAGGGAGAAAGUGGGGGGUCUUCGGACCUCACGCUAUCAGAUGAGCCUAGGUCGGAUUAGCUAGUUGGUGGGGUAAAGGCCUACCAAGGCGACGAUCCGUAACUGGUCUGAGAGGGUGAUCAGUCACACUGGAACUGAGACACGGUCCAGACUCCUACGGGAGGCAGCAGUGGGGAAUAUUGGACAAUGGGCGAAAGCCUGAUCCAGCCAUGCCGCGUGUGUGAAGAAGGUCUUCGGAUUGUAAAGCACUUUAAGUUGGGAGGAAGGGCAGUAAGUUAAUACCUUGCUGUUUUGACGUUACCAACAGAAUAAGCACCGGCUAACUUCGUG
rnacentral:rRNA from 1 species